rnacentral:rRNA from 1 species
AUAUUGGUCAAUGGGGGAAACCCUGAACCAGCAACGCCGCGUGAGGGAUGACGGCCUUCGGGUUGUAAACCUCUGUCCUCUGUGAAGAUAAUGACGGUAGCAGAGGAGGAAGCUCCGGCUAACUACGUGCCAGCAGCCGCGGUAAUACGUAGGGAGCAAGCGUUAUCCGGAUUUACUGGGUGUAAAGGGAGCGUAGGCGGUGCUAUAAGUCUGAUGUGAAAGCCCGGGGCUCAACCCCGGGACUGCUUUGGAAACUGUAGAUCUAGAGUGCUGGAGAGGUAAGUGGAAUUCCUAGUGUAGCGGUGAAAUGCGUAGAUAUUAGGAGGAACACCAGUGGCGAAGGCGGCUUACUGGACAGUAACUGACGUUGAGGCUCGAAAGCGUGGGGAGCAAACA